AUUGAAACAAAACUACCGCUCCAAAACUUCUAUGGAAAAUCGCAUCUUCUUUUCUCUGAAGAAUUUACAUGGGGCUGAUUUUCCUGUUCUUGUUCUCAGUUAACAGCCUCAGUUUUGUUUUCCUCCAAGACAUUCCCUCUCCAGCCUUGGGAGUAACACCUCUGCUUGCACCCCAGCGCUCUGCCACUUGUAUCCACUGCUUUGCAAGUUGCUGGGGCCCUUUUAAAACACCUGAAGGUGCAGUGCCUUUUAAAAGCCAGGAACAAUGUAGCCAUCUGACCUCAUGGAUCUGCUUUCUAGGUGUCCUGAACCUGUGCAUGUUUGAUGUUUGGUAAGACCUGGGCGGUGGGGGGGUGGGUGGGGGUGGUGGUGACAGCUUGACAGCUGACAUCAGCACAGGACGCAAGAGCGGGCUCUGCCCUCACAGGGAGAGGAGCACAGGGACCUUUUUACUCACAGCUCAGAGCUUAGUUUCUCCCUGUAGCUUUGUCUGAGCAACCUUCACAAGCUCCGUGAGAGGAACCGGACGUGGGGCAUCUAGCAGAAACUAGUCCAUGUGGCUUAAAGAGGCCAGUGAAUUUUUUGCCCUCCUACUCCUGAAACAGAGCUAGUCUCAGGAUUUGCUGCAGAAGUGACACUGGGGAGCUUCUGAGACUUGUAUGCACCGGAAUGUUCCCUCUUGGAACCCAGCCACCAGGCCAUGUUGUGAGAACACCAAGCCACAUGGAGGGGUCACAUGGAAGACAACCGGCGUGCUCCAGUGACAGCCCGGAUGAGCUUCCAUCUGACAGCCAGCAACAACUGGCAGCCGCAUUGAGUGACAGAGGAAACCAUCUUGGAUGUAGCCCCGUCCAGCCUACAGAUGACUGCAGCCCCAGAUCACACCACUGGAGCAAAAGACCUGCCCGGCUGUUGUUUUAACUUGCUAAAUUUGGAGGUCAUUUAUAGUAGGUAAUUGGAACAACUCCUUGUGAUAACAGUACAGGUUACACGCUGUUAUUAUCCUAUUUCACAGAUGGGAAAACUGAGGCACAGAGAGGCAAAGUGACUUACCAUGUUCCCAGUGCUGGUAGAGUCAGGUUUCGAACUCACAUCUGUCUGAUUCCAAAGCCCACGUCCCUAACCUCCAUCUUAUACUAUCUCAAAGAGCUUGUGAUUCACUGGAGAGCCACAAAAAGUAAAAUUAGAAGACUCAAGCACAUGCACAACCCUUCGUGGUGUCGUGGUACUCACUCAGGACCUGGGGAGUCUGUAUCAUCUCAGACCAGCCUGGAAGGAAAGAGAGAAAACAGUUUUUCCUAGUUAAAAAAAGAAACAUGGAGUUAACCCCCUCCAACUCUGAUCACACCAAACUUCCCCGCUACUCUAAGACAUUGGUGGAAAAACUGCGGCCGGGGAGCCAAAUCCCACCCACUGCCUGUGCUCUGGACUGAAUGGCUGCAUCCCCCCAAGUUCAAAUGCUGAAACCCUAACCCUGAUGUGAUGGUAUCAGGAGGCGGGGCCUUUGGGAGGUGCUCAGGGUUAGAUGAGAUCAGGAGGGUGGGGCUGUAUAAAAAGAGGAAGGGCUGUGAGCUCUCUCUCCCUGCCAAGGCAGCCGUCUGCAAACCAGGAAGGGAAUCCUCACUGGGACCCAAAUGGGCCAGCAUCUUGAUCUUGGACUUCCCAGCCAGCAGAACUGUGAAAAAUACAUAUUUGCUGUUUCAGCCCCCUAGUCUAUGGUAUUUUGUUAUAGCAGCCCAAACUAAGACAGCCUGUUUUUGUAAAUAAAGUUUUAUUGGAACACAGCCCCAUCCAUUUGUUUACAUAUUUCUUAUGACUACUUUCCCAUUAUAUGGCAGAAUUCAGUUGUUAGGACAGAG
ensembl:lncRNA